CUAUACUAUACAUACAUUCUAUGUGAUUGUCACAUACCUAAGUGUUAUGUGUAAAGAACAUGAACAUUAUGUGAAUAUACGAUGUGAAAAAAGUUGACAGUUUCAAUAUGGUUUCUCGUAUAGUAACAGCACAAGGCAAAGGAAUUACGAUCGGAGAUACUCAAACACUUUUCUGAAGGUAUUUAAAGAAUGCGGAAACGGAAAAAAACUGUUAGCAUUGAAGGAACCAAAAAAACUACGACGAAGUUUGCUGAUUUUCUCAACACAAAGGAAGCAUAAUAAGAGAAACUAUUUUAGCUGCUGAUAGUUAUGCAAAUGCUAUUAAUUAUAAACAGAACAUGUAAAUAUAAGAUGCAUUACAAUAAAA